rnacentral:rRNA from 1 species
UACGUAGGGUGCAAGCGUUAAUCGGAAUUACUGGGCGUAAAGCGUGCGCAGGCGGUUCGCUAAGACAGAUGUGAAAUCCCCGGGCUUAACCUGGGAACUGCAUUUGUGACUGGCGGGCUAGAGUAUGGCAGAGGGGGGUAGAAUUCCACGUGUAGCAGUGAAAUGCGUAGAGAUGUGGAGGAAUACCGAUGGCGAAGGCAGCCCCCUGGGCCAAUACUGACGCUCAUGCACGAAAACGUGGGGAGCAAACAGG